CACGCUCUGGUGGGGCGGCAUGACUUCAGAUCCGGAGAU
rnacentral:tRNA from 14 species